UAUGUUGAAAACUAUCUUCUUUCCUAUUUCUCUUUCUCAUGAGUUGCCCACCUUGGGCACAGAAGGUGCUCCAGGGGAAUGAUCAUUCAUUGAUGUGGAUGGAGGAGUCUCUGAAAAAAGUCUUGGUGGAUGUCAGGGUGUCAUGCUCAGGAACAAUCUGGAAUAGAUUUCCUGCAUUCUACUCUCUGUCUCCCAUCUGCUUCCUGGGAACUCCGCCCAUGACAGUUGGUGCUGAGAGUGGUUUGAGAAGCAAAAUCUAAGACUUGAAUGAGAAGAUCAUUUUCUAAGUAACAGAAUUAAUUCCAGAAGAUACAAAGAUAUGAAAGAGAACAACCACCACAAAAGAAAUGGAAAAGAUUAAUAAAG